GACCAAUGCGAAAGCAUUUGCCAAGGAUGUUUUCAUUAAUCAAGAACGAAAGUAGGGGGAUCGAAGACGAUCAGAUACCGUCGUAGUCUCUACCGUAAACUAUGCCGACCAGGGAUCCGGAGAGUUUGCAUGGAUGACUCCCCGGGCACCUUGUGAGAAAUCAUAAGUCUUUGGGUUUUGGGGGGAGUAUGGUCGCAAGGCUGAAACUUAAAGGAAUUGACGGAAGGGCACCACCAGGAGUGGAACCUGCGGCUUAAUUUGACUCAACACGGGGAAACUUACCAGGUCCAGACACAGUAAGGAUUGACAGAUUGAAAGCUCUUUCUUGAUUCAGUGGGUGGUGGUGCAUGGCCGUUCUUAGUUGGUGGAGUGAUUUGU
rnacentral:rRNA from 1 species